UACGGAGGGUGCGAGCGUUAAUCGGAAUUACUGGGCGUAAAGCGUGCGUAGGCGGUUGGUUAAGUUAGAUGUGAAAGCCCCGGGCUCAACCUGGGAACGGCAUUUAAAACUGGCCAGCUAGAGUUAGGUAGAGGGGGGCGGAAUUCCGGGUGUAGCGGUGAAAUGCGUAGAUAUCCGGAGGAACACCAGUGGCGAAGGCGGCCCCCUGGACCCAAACUGACGCUGAGGUACGAAAGCGUGGGUAGCAAACAGG
rnacentral:rRNA from 1 species